AUUUUCGGCAAUGGGGGCAACCCUGACCGAGCGACGCCGCGUGAGUGAAGAAGGUCUUCGGAUUGUAAAGCUCUGUUGUAAGGGAAGAACUGUACCAGUAGGGAAUGACUGGUACCUGACGGUACCUUACCAUCAAGCCACGGUUAACUACGUGCCUGCAGCGGCGGUAAUACGUAGGUGGCAAGCGUUAUCCGGAAUUAUUGGGCGUAAAGGGAGCGCGGGCGGCUUAUUAGGUCUGAGGUUAAAGUUCGGGGAUCAACCCCGUGAUGCCUAGAAACUGCUAGGCUAGAGUGCAGGAGAGGUGAGUGGAAUUCCAUGUGUAGCGGUAAAAUGCGUAGAUAUAUGGAGGAACACCAGUGGCGAAGGCGGCUCACUGGCCUGUAACUGACGCUGAGGCUCGAAAGCGUGGGGAGCAAAUA
rnacentral:rRNA from 1 species